rnacentral:tRNA from 1 species
GGUCUCAUGGUGUAACGGUUAGUACUCUGGACUGCUGAAUCCAGCAAUCCGAGUUCAAGUUUCGGUGAGACCU